rnacentral:rRNA from 1 species
CCUACGGGUGGCAGCAGUGGGGAAUAUUGGACAAUGGGGGCAACCCUGAUCCAGCCAUGCCGCGUGUGUGAAGAAGGCCCUCGGGUUGUAAAGCACUUUCAGUGAGGAAGAACGCCUGGUGGUUAAUACCCAGCAGGAAAGACAUCACUCACAGAAGAAGCACCGGCUAACUCCGUGCCAGCAGCCGCGGUAAUACGGAGGGUGCGAGCGUUAAUCGGAAUUACUGGGCGUAAAGCGCGCGUAGGUGGCUUGAUAAGCCGGUUGUGAAAGCCCCGGGCUCAACCUGGGAACGGCAUCCGGAACUGUCAAGCUAGAGUGCAGGAGAGGAAGGUAGAAUUCCCGGUGUAGCGGUGAAAUGCGUAGAGAUCGGGAGGAAUACCAGUGGCGAAGGCGGCCUUCUGGACUGACACUGACACUGAGGUGCGAAAGCGUGGGUAGCAAACAGGAUUAGAUACCCCUGUAGUC